AACAGCUCCUUCAAGCUUAAACUUGAGCCAUCAACCAACCUAUUUUCCUUAACAUUUUCAACUUUGCCACCUUCCCAUAGUAAUUCAUUAAGUUCGUUUUUAUGAAAACGCCCACUCAGUCGUCCCUAUGCUCAAGCGGCUAUUCAUCAUCUGACUCCAUGGAUGAGUCUUUGUUAGGUACACACUUUCAUUUCCAGAGCAAUGGUUAUUUUGAAUAGUCACAUUUUGUUGCCUUACAUCACUUGAUAAUGCCAAACCCACUUAGAGACCCUGAAUAGGAAGCAGUCCUCACCAAAAUGCAUGAUGAUCGUCUCCUCUUAUCUCUUCAAUUGGGUAGAGCUUAUCAAUAAUCUUGCUUCACUAUAAUCACUGACGUUUAUCGAGUUGACGCCUAAAGCAACCAACUCACCCCACAGCUCCGCAAUACGUUUGAAAGAACUGGAAUUCCACAUACGAAUUGGAACCCCAAACACAUUAAUCCAUUUUAAUCUACAUUUUGCAUAACAACAUUUUGACCAUGGCUGGAUUUCAAUAAAUCUUUCAUUUAACCAAGGCCAUCCUUGUUGCUUUAUCUCCUCCUUCAUGUUGUUCUCCAAGAAUUCAAUCAAAAAAUGAUUCCCUGCAAAUUUUUUAACUUCAAUGUCCAAAAGAACAUUCAUAUAAAGAUGUCCUUAAGUCAAGAGAUUUCAAUGUAACUUUCGACUCUACCAACCACACAUUUUCAAGCUUCUUCAAUUGAUCUACCUCAACAAACCUUCUACCUUUCUCGACUCCGAAAACUCAGAAUUUGAAUCUUCUUCUUCUUCUUUUUUUUUUUUGGGGGGUACAAUCUGAGUUAACUCCAUUUCCCUUGAUCACCUCAGUUUUAUUUGUACUAAACACCUUCUUAGCGUCCAACACUUAUUUUCCUUCUCUCUUAGUUCUUUUUUUUUCCUCCAAAAAUUCCUUCUACUGUUGAACUUUGUCAAAAACACACUAAUGUAACUACCAAACAACCUAUAACCAUUCAGUCUCAUCGCAGCGCUAUGAGCAUCAACCAUUGUCAUAAGUCUGACAAAUCCAAAUCUCUUUCCUUCACUGCUUGAAGGCCCUUCCAAUACAUCUUUUUAGGAAGAUUGAGGGAAAAAGAAGAGUAACAUGGCCACUCAUGGUUAGGGUUUUAAAUCUUAGACUAAAUAGGUCAAUAUUAAUUUUAGUAGUGCCAACCAAGUUAAUUUGCAACAUGCAUUAAGCAGCACAAUAAAUUUAUUCUUAAUGACUAAAUCCAACUUAUUAGCAUAAUAAUAUAGAUAGGUGGGGCUUAUUAGCAUAGUAAUAUAGAUAGGUGGGAAGGCAGAUUAACUUAGAUAUUAUAAGGUUCUAAUUAAUUCCAUCAAAUCUUAGAUUAAUAAUUACAUAGACUAAAUAAAUGAAUAAAAGAUAAUUAAUUAAUUAAUUAGAUAAAGUGAUAGAGUUUCAAGUUCAUAAUUUGAUUGAGAAACUUAAAGUUUUCAUUGCCUUAGUUUAGUAAAAUCAUUAUAAUUUGUAUAAUUUAAUUUUAAUUGUAAUUAGAAUUUUAUUUAUUGAUAUGCAUCAUAUAAAAGUGAAUUAUUGGUAUUUAGCAUCUUAAAAUUUGAUCUACAUAGGAAUGAUAUCAUCUUAUCACUUUAUUACUUGAUCGAUGCGUGCACUCGUGUUACAAGUUUCAAUCAUCAAGUUUUGUCCUUUUUAUGGUGUGGUGUUAAUUUAUUUUGCUUGCAGUUUUUUCUCUUCUCCGAUUGACAGUGAAUUCC
rnacentral:lncRNA from 1 species